GAGCGUCAUUUAAUCAUUCAAGCUCUGCUUGGUGUUGGGUGUUUGUUCCGCCUCAGCGCGUGGACUCGCCUUAAAUUCAUUGGCAGCCGGUAUGUUGGCUUCGUGCGCAGCACAUUGCGUCGCGAUUCUGGCAGGCCUCCUCCCAUUAAGCUUCUUUUAAGUUUGACCUCGGAUCAGGUAGGGAUACCCGCUGAACUUAA
rnacentral:misc_RNA from 1 species